UACGUAGGGGGCAAGCGUUUGUCCGGAUUUAUUGGGCGUAAAGAGCGUGUAGGCGGCCGCACAGGUCCGUUGUGAAAACUGGAGGCUUAACCUUCAGACGUCGAUGGAAACCGUGCGGCUAGAGUCCGGAAGAGGAGAAUGGAAUUCCUGGUGUAGCGGUGAAAUGCGCAGAUAUCAGGAAGAACACCCGUGGCUAAGGCGGUUCUCUAGUACGGUACUGACGCUGAGACGCGAAAGCGUGGGGGAGCGAACAGG
rnacentral:rRNA from 1 species